GAUGAACGCUGGCGGCGUGCCUAAUACAUGCCAGUCGAGCGAACGGACGAGAAGCUUGCUUUUCUGAUGUUAGCGGCGGACGGGUGAGUAACACGUGGAUAACCUGCCUAUAAGACUGGGAUAACUUCGGGAAACCGGAGCUAAUACCGGAUAAUAUUUUGAACCGCAUGGUUCAAAAGUGAAAGACGGUCUUGCUGUCACUUAUAGAUGGAUCCGCGCUGCAUUAGCUAGUUGGUAAGGUAACGGCUUACCAAGGCAACGAUGCAUAGCCGACCUGAGAGGGUGAUCGGCCACACUGGAACUGAGACACGGUCCAGACUCCUACGGGAGGCAGCAGUAGGGAAUCUUCCGCAAUGGGCGAAAGCCUGACGGAGCAACGCCGCGUGAGUGAUGAAGGUCUUCGGAUCGUAAAACUCUGUUAUUAGGGAAGAACAUAUGUGUAAGUAACUGUGCACAUCUUGACGGUACCUAAUCAGAAAGCCACGGCUAACUACGUG
rnacentral:rRNA from 1 species